UCUCACAACUCUAGACGGGGGAUCACUCGGCUCGUGCGUCGAUGAAGAGCGCAGCCAGCUGCGUUACUUAAUGUGAAUUGCAGGACACAUUGAACAUCGACAUCUUGAACGCAUAUUGCGGCCUCGGGUCCAUCCCGGGGCCACGCCUGUCUGAGGGUCGGCGACUAAGCAAUCGCGAACGCGCACUUCGUUCGCGCAUUGAGCUCUCGCAGUCGGUCGGUUCUUAAUCGACGUUGACUUCGUGGCUCUAAGACCAGACUGCCGUCCGUUCGCGGAGGUGUCGCGGUCGCCCGCUCUGUCGCUCUUUUUUGCUCGACUCAAUCGGUGGCUGCGUGGACCGGCUCUUGUGUUCUCGCGCGGCCGGACGAACGCUCCGAGUCUUGCAAAUGUUUCUCUAGUAGCGGCGGAAAAAGGCGGAGUCGGCACACGGCAAAACUUGCGUGUACACACACUCUUUUUCCGACCUCAGAUCAGACGAGACUACCCGCUGAAUUUAAGCAUAUCAGUAAGCGGAGGAAAAGAAACUAACAAGGAUUCCCUUAGUAACGGCGAGUGAAGCGGGAAGAGCCCAGCACCGAAUCCCCUGGUUCUGCGCUAGCGGGAAUUGUGGUGUUUGGGACGCCUAUCGGCGCUGUGUCCCUGUGCCCAAGUCCUUCUGAUCGGGGCCUUUCCCAUAGUGGGUGUCAGGCCUUUAGCGGCACGGGACUAAGCGUCCUUGAGCGUCCUUGGAGUCGGGUUGUUUGGGAAUGCAGCCCUAAGUGGGUGGUAAACUCCAUC
rnacentral:rRNA from 1 species